CAGUCGCCGCGGGAAUACGAAGGGGGCUAGCGUUGUUCGGAAUUACUGGGCGUAAAGGGCGCGUAGGCGGCCAUUCAAGUUAGAUGUGAAAGCCCUGGGCUCAACCUAGGAAUUGCAUUUGAUACUGUUUGGCUUGAGUUCGGGAGAGGUGAGUGGAAUUCCCAGUGUAGAGGUGAAAUUCGUAGAUAUUGGGAAGAACACCGGUGGCGAAGGCGGCAACCUGGUCCUUGACUGACGCUGAGGCGCGAAAGCGUGGGGAGCAAACAGGAUUAGAUACCCCCGUAGUCCCUGUCUCUUAUAC
rnacentral:rRNA from 1 species